rnacentral:sRNA from 1 species
AGAUGUGAGGGCAAUAUGGCUGUGACAUCUGUCAUCUCACUGAUAACCAUGGUUGAUUGAGCUGAUCUGGAGACAAAUGCCCUCCCACUCCCUUACUGUCCCACAUGCGCCCUUCCAAAGCUGCAUGCCUCAUUGAAGAUGAUCUUGUCCCACAGAGAAAGACUGUCCCCCACAUAGCCACAGUCCCCUGCAAAAACCUCCAAAUAGACCCUCAAGGCCAAACACUGCCCAUACCAGCCUAGCAGGUGAUUGCAUCUUGG